AUCCCUGUAGUACAAUGGUUAGUACGCUCACGAAAGCGAUGAGAGACGGUGGUUUGAUUCCUUCCUGGGGUA